rnacentral:sRNA from 1 species
AUUGAGAUUUUAGAACAACAAUGGAUAAAAGAGAA